CUAUUAGCAUGACAAUGACGGUAUUGAGAAGCUAUUUAUAAUUAAUUGAAUUACAAAUGAUAACACUAAAUAAUGUAUCGUUCGAUCUGACAAGAACUGUUCAGAUCAGACUGGCCAUUUUAGAUUAAAAAAAAUGGUGUACGUGUGUUAUUACAAAGGAAUAUAUUCCUAAAUUUCAAAUUUCAAAUUGGUAGAAAAAAUGCGAUGAAAGAAACAAAAGGACAUUUAAACUCAUAAGUCGAAAACAGACAGACAAAUUGAAUAGUAAUGCAAAGAGAUAAAAAUAGAUAAAUGAAAAGACAAAUGGAAAUAGUAAUGUGUCAAAGAGACAACAACCCGACCAUAGAACAGACAACAGCAGAAGGUCACCAAUCCAGCUUUACAAAACAAAAUAUAGAAAUUCAAAGACUGAGCCGCAAAAAUAUACAAAAAGAAGAUGUGAUAUGACUGCUAGUUUAAUAACUCUCCACAAGAGACCAAAUGUGACAGACAUUCACAACUAUAGCUCACAGGGCGGACUUCAACAAUGAGCAAAGCCCUUUGCGCAAAGACGGUUUAAAGCCAACCAUUACCGGGGUUGUUGUCAGAUGCUUUGGAAGGUUGAACAGAUCAUACUCCACAGGGACCCCCUUUGAAAAGCUUAUGUAAGUACUACAAUACCGUCUAAUUUGGUAGGUUACAUGAGAGUUAAAGGAGAAGGGUUAAUAGUUACGACAAUUGAAACAUAUUCGUCAUCAUCUGUGACGUCAAUGAGGGUCGACAAAAAAAACGGCUUCCGUAAAUUUCAGAUAUGAUAAUUUCAAAUUCACCACUUGGAACACUUAUUUUAAGUUGUAAAAAAAAAUAAAAAAUAACGAACUCGGAAUAUAAUUCUAAAUCAUGAAAAAACUAGUGUAUCUCUAUCACGGAAAUCAUGAAAUCUAGCAACUACCAGUUGAAGAAUUUCGUAUUAACUGGAAGACAUAUAACUCUAUAUCCACUACGUACAUAGUCUGAAAUGUUUUUUAUUCAAUGGUAUCGUGCAAAAUGAAGUAAACCGAUACUAUAAAAGGUAGCAUUUUUUACAAAAUAAAUUUUUAAAAGUCACAGUAUUAAGCUGUUUUGAACAUGUUGAAAGUCCAAACGAAAAACAGUUAUUUUUCAGAUACGUGUUUUUUUUUUUUGUAACACAAGCAGCUCUAUUAAUAUACAAUUAUUAACUUUUGAUGAGCUUUACUAGUAUGCAAUGAUUUAUCAACUGAAAUCAAAGGUUAAGAAUUGAUUAUUAUCAUGAUUAUAUUACUAAGUAUCCGUCUAACAUUUCGCAGUGGUGCUAGUUAUUCUUUUAUUCUUGCAGUUUUUCUUUUUUUUUGCAAAAGGUGCGAGUCAAAUUCUGUCUCUGUGAUACAGGUGCCCCAGAAUGAACGAAAUAACAAAGAGAGGAUAAUCUAGAACUCUCCAAUGAUUUGACAUUUUUUCGUUAGUGGCGCGUGUUUGUAUUUUUAGUUUUGAGUUCCGGUGUUGUGUGACACGGGUGCUUCGAUAAAUGAGGUAUUUACUAAGAGAAGAGGAAAACAAUCUAAAGAUUAACACAUUUCUUCGAGUUCGUUAUAUUCCAAUUUGGAGUGGUGCGAGUAUGAUAAAGUGAUAUAAGUUGUUAUAAUAAGUAAAAAUGUUUUUAAUGCAUGGUGCGAGGUGGCCGUGGGGGAAUUGUCUUAAAUUCGAGACAAAAUGACUACAAAACCAUUUCAGCCUGCUAAUAAAAUGAUGAUGGUAAAAAAGCAGCUAUGAAACUUAAUUUUGGGGUUUAAUUAAUUUAGCUGCGCUUAUUAAAGCAUUAAUUGAUGCGGUUAAAAAAGAACAUAACAUUAACUAAUUAUUCAUUAUAUAUGAUACUUCAGACGAUAUUCGGUUCGGAGAUAAACUGGCUAAACAAAUUUUGUCUAUCAAUUAAAUAGUAUAGAUAUGUGUUCUAUGUAUUCAUAAUUAUGCAUCGUUAUUAAUAAUCUGUCAUUGUAAUUGCCCUUGAUGACUAGUUUCAGAUAAGCGUACAAAAACAUAGAAUUACAAAUCUUCUCAACUGUUUUUGUGUUCAACAAAAGUGCAAAUAUGUUUUUUUUCAUUUAAUUGUAAAUCAGAAACUGACAUUAAGUAGUAGUACAUGUAUAUAGACACAUAAAAGUGUUUUUGCAUUCAGCAUUUAUUAAAAAAUACCUGUAUUUCUUCUUUUUAUUACAAUUGAUGACCUGUCAUCAGAUAUAAGAACUUUUUGUAUAGCAUAAUUUUGCUGUUUUGUUAUAAAAUAUGAAAUAAAAUAUGAUGAAUAAAAGUGAUAAGUUACUUUAAGUUUUUUUUUACAUUGUUUGCUUCAACAAUGUACCUGUAUUUUGAUUUUAUUGCGUUAGAAUGACAAUAUUUCAAUGAAUAAUAAUUAUUAAUAAUAAUGUUUUUGUCCAAGGCGGAUAACCCUGGCCUCACAACUUUUUGGAACUUUUGGUCCUCGGCGAUCUUCAACUUGGUACUUGUUAUGGCUUUCAAACUUUUCACAUCUGAGCAUAGUUUUGUGUGGACGUAGCGCGCGUCUGGCGUAUAAAAAUAUUUUUUAACCUGUUACCUGUGGAUGGCUAUUAUUCGUUUGUUUCUCUGUCCUAUAUUUUCUUCCAUUUAUCUGUUUAUUUAUUGUAGCCCUGUCGUGUAAUGUUGUCAUUUUAAUGUUAUAAUUAACACUGCCAUUAAAGCGGGAGGUUUGGCAUGCCACAAAACCAGGUUCAACCAACCAUUUUUUUCAUAAAAUGCCCUGUGCCAAGUUAGGAAAAUGGCCAUUGUUACAUUAUAGUUCGUUUCUGCGUGUGUUACGUUUCGGUGUUGUGUCUCUGUUGUGUCAUAGUUCUCUUAUAUUUAAUACGUUUCCCUCAGUUUUAGUUUGUAUAACCGGAUUUGUUUUUUCUCUAUCGAUUUAUGAAUUUUUAACAGCGGUAUACUACUGUUGCCUUUAUUUAAUAAGAUAAAUAUCUAUACUUCUGAAGGAAGAGGUGGAUUUUAUUGAGCUACAUCUCAACUGAAACCAUACAAAGUCAUCUAAUUCAUAUAAAUGUCUUUAAAACAAAAACAUUUGCAUAGAAAACAUAAACAAGAGAACGUAUCCCUAUUCAGAGAAAUUAUAUCGAUCCUUGUCUUUUACUCUGUUUUUGUUCUGCGCAGUCGACGAACUGUCUGCGAAAUUUUAAACCUACUAGACAAAAAACCCGCGAAAUAUUACUUUGGUUCAUAAUUUGAAGAUAUACAGUUUUGAUGUAAGAAAAUUUAAUCACAAUUUUUGUUCCAACUCCUUCGAUUGAUCUCGUUUACAAUUUUUUGUAAAUUGAAAUCUUAAAACAUUUGUUGCUAAUUUACAAAUCUUGAUCACAUGUUUGAUGAAAUGUCUUGUUUGUACCAUUCUAUUAGAACCAUGGUUUAAAUUUUGCUUCAAAGAUUUUGCACCACACUCCUCUCGGUGGAACAAUAUUUUUUGCGCUCCCCUCAACUCCUGGAUUGGCACCUGAUUUCAAGUGUUUCCAUGCUCAGAAAAAAACCCGUAUAUAUGAAUGGGCUGAAAAUUUUAUGCAUUAAUAGGAAGGGGGUGUCACUUUCCAGCCGCACACCUGUAGGCUUUUUUAACCGAAAACCGAAGUAAUCCCUCCACCCUUUUCGUGUUGAAUUGCUGCAGUUCAGCGGAAGGAAAAGAUCUUGACGUGUGAAGACCUGUUGUGAAAUUAAUGAGAUAGUCAAGGGAAUGUGUAUUUUAUGCAUUUAGUAUAUGAAUGGGUGGUCACAUUCCAGUCGCUCUUUUGUACCCAUUUUUUACCGAAAACAGAGGCAAGCCACUCCCAUACAUAAGUGGGUUUAAAAAUUUAUGCAUUAAUAUGAAAUGGAGGUAGGUCAUAGUCCAGUCGCACCCAUUUUUAACCGAAAAUUGAAAAAAUCCGCCACCCUUUUCGUGUUAAAUUGAUGCUGUUUCCCGGAAGGAAAGGCUCUUGACUAGUUAAAAUCUGUUGUCAGAGGAAUGUGUAUCACAAAGUGUUUCUGUGUAAGGUGAAUAUUAAUCGUAUCUUCAACGAAAUGAAAUUUUAAUUGUGCAGGGCAGUCGUGCAAUGACGGGAUUGAUGGGGGCACUUAAAUUUCAAAGCCGAACGUCGUGAAUGACGGUCGAUUCGAACUGGCUUUUUUCGAUUUUAAACCCCCAAAUACCACCAACAGAUCUUGAAAUGAACACAUAAUAAACAACACUGGUCAUUGCCCCUUUGUACUAUAAAACAAUAUUCAUGGAUUCUAUGUGAAAGAAGAAUACAAGACACCCAAUUUCAACUCUAUUCAUUUAGCAAUAUAGAUCUGUUUCAACACUUGUCCAAUUGUACCGCGAUUUUUUUGGCAUCUUAUAGUAGUUUACAUGUAUGGAUUUUUUCAUAUUGACCCAGUAACAUGCCCUCGAUAUCAGUAAUUGCAUCGGCAAGUUUUAAUUGCCCCGAGGAAACACUAAAACAGCUCACCACAAAUCUAAAACAUGGCCAAUACACAACAGCUACUGUGGAUUCUUUUCUUUUCUUGGAUACCAAUUUUCGUUGAUAACUUUCGUGGAUAUUGAAUUUCGUGGUUUUGUCAAAGUUUGUAUACAAGCCUAUAUAAAAGUUUGUUAUUCGUUGAACAUUUUAUUUCGUGGUUCACCUGUACCCACGAACUUCACGAAAAUUGGUAUCUCACGGAUAAUAAUGAAUCCACAGUAAUUCUUUUAUUAAAUUGUUUAAUUCCUCUAUUAAACUAAGAGUCAGAAACUUACCGUGAAGAAGAUACAGAAAUGUAUAGCUGAACUUGUCUACUUGCAUUUAAAGUGGAUUUUUGGUCAACAUUGUCAGAUGUUAUUUCUAAUAUUCUCAUCCAAGUACUUAAUGGAUUACAUUUCAUUUUAUCUACCAAAUACAAAGUAGCUGGGAAGAAUAAAUCAGACGGUUUAACUAUUCUUACUCUUAAGUGGAAUGCGUUCUGAUUAAAGGAAAUGAAACUGUGAUCCUAAUCGAAGGUCCUUCCCGAAAAGGCUGUGAAAUAUAAUGUAUGUCCGUUUCAAGACGUUACUAAACACUGACCACCAUUAAAAUUUCUUCAUUUUGCUUUUAUGAUAUUAGGUUCAAACAAAAUAAAAAAAAUAAGUUAUCACUUACUUUACAAAAUAAACGACAUUUUGAUUGAAUCAAUGUUCCGUUUAAUCUGUUCAUAAUGUAUGGCUGUGAGUUGGUAAAGCACAGACGUGAUUUUGUACUGCAUGACUCUGAUUCCGUUAUGACUGGCUGUAGCAGUUGUCGAAAUUUUUUCCUUCAUAAAGCAUGGACAUUUAUGUACACUACACACAUAUAUAUAUAUAUGAAUUUUAAUUGCAUUAAAUAGAGUGUCCAUAUUUCCCACUGUUAUUCAAUACCCUGCACUGAUAUUUGAUUUGUUCGCUUAAAUUCACAUGAACAUUUACUGUAUUUUAGUAAACUUAAGAAUACGAAAUGCGCAUCGUUUUUUUCUGUACGUGGUUUAUUAAAACUAUUUAUUUACGACAAGAGAAAUUUUUUAAAUGAUAAUUCGAUGGUAGUUUUAUUUGCAUAUUUCAAUUUUGUUCGAACACACGUAUGGUGAGUAGUAAUUUUGCUGCAUAAUGGAAAAAUAAUAUAAAAUGGCCUCUGUUACAAAACAAUUUUUACUUUUCCUGUGUGUUAUUUUCAUCAAAUGAAGCAAAAAUACGAUUCAAUAAGUCAUUGCAGUCAAAAUUCAAAGUUAAAUCUUUCAGUCGGAUCAAUAUGUUCGUUCAUUUCAAUCAAUGAAACGGAUUCUGAGUAUAAGGGCUUACUUAAUUUAAAGGUGACCGAUUUCUGACUGUUAAACUGGUCCUUCAAAUAAAAAACGCAUAAGUUUGCACGUACUAAGUCUGAUCCUGAUUUUUAUUUUGGUUAUAUAAUAAAACAAAUUUAAGACAGCAAAAAUAAUGAUAGAUCAUAGAUGACAGUUUAACGUCCAAACCACAAACACAUAACUGAUUCAUGACUGCUAGGGGUCAAAUAAACAAACCACAAACCAUAAAAUUAAUUGGUAUUUGAACAGGUUUGCAUCUUUUAUCUAGUUUUAUCUCGUUGUUUACUUUCUUUGAAUCCCUUCACAAUAUUUUGCUUAAAAAAAUCUUGAUAAACGGACAAUUUUACAAUGACUUUAAAAUUACUCAUAUAAUUUGUAAGCUGAAUUCAUUUCUUUGUCGUAACUUUCUAAUCUCCAUCGAAAAUUAUUGUCAAUUUCUAGUCAACAUAUGAAACAUACCUAACCCUGUCUAUUGAAUCUAUUCCAUUCUAGUCUUAUUCAAAAACAAAUUUUACAUUAAAAGUUGUACAAUAUGAAUAUUGUUUAGCUAUGAAGGUAACAUUUCUCACAGUGGCUUUAAAACGUAUAAAUGUUUAAAAUGUCCAACCAAAGGCAACAGUAGUAAACCGCUGUUCAAAAUUCAUAAAUCGAUAGAGAAAAAAAAACAAAUUCGGGUUACAAACUAAAACUGAGGGAAACAUAUCAAAUAUAAGAGAACUACUACACAACAGAUACACAACAUCGAAAUGUAACACAGAGAGGGACGAACUAUAAUGUAACAAUGGCCAUUUUCCUGACUUGGUACAGGACAUUUUAUGAAAAAUGGUGGGUUUAACCUUUUCUAAAAGUUGUUCAAAAAGAACACGAACUAACUCUUAAAAAUUAACCCAAACCUUUUUGGAAUUUUUGUUCCACAUGAUCUUCAACUUUGCAUAUCUCAUUUCUAAUGAAACAUUUAACAUAUUCUUUACACAAGUCAAAGCUUCAAACUCGAUCUUCUUUUUAUUGUUGAUUUAUAUUGCCAAUUCUAAGAAUCGCAAUAAAGUAAAACACGAAACCUUCAACAACAUUUUAAACAUAUAACCUUGAAUUCUUGACAUGCAUCUUUUUUUUGUUUUGUUUUUUGUUUGUUUUUGGUAAACCAAAAGAUGGAUCUGUUCCUUGCUAAUUCGUUUUCCGUGAUUAAUUCAUUAUAUUACUUUUUUAUAUUCAUAAUGAACUGUAUAUAUAGCAGGUACUGUUGUAUUGUUGGACAGUGGGUUACAUCGUCAUUCAUUGAAGGUAAGUCUUUGGCUAUGAUUAAUAAUGACGACAAAUCCAUGGUAUUCAUGUACGAAAAGAAAUUUAGAGAGCGCAUACACUAAAUAAAAUGUGUCGCGGACGUAAUGUCAAGAAAAACAAUUAACAACUCCCUAAAAAUAGAUGAACCCGAAUUGUAAGAUUCCAACACUACAACAAUUGUAUUACGAUGUUUUUUUCACUCGAGACAGUUAAAUGUGAAUAAUUAAGUGCAGGGAUUGCAGCAUAAAUAAUUAAAAUUGAACUGUUGAGACUGUAGAAAUAUCGUUACCCACAAUAUAUAGUAAUAAAAUCUGUUUCUAGAAUGAUUUGCAGCCUUCCUUUUCAAAUAUUUUCUGCAAAUUGUGUUCUUUAUAUGUGACGUCAUCAAGCAUAGGUCGCCAUUUCUAUGACAUCACAACAGGAAAUUAUAAAAAAAAAGUCCAGUCAAAGCUGAAGGCAGUUUUCAAACGAAAAUAUCAACAUCUAUGUAAACGACAGACAUAGAUCUUGAUAUUUUUGUUUGAACACUGCUCUCAUCUUUCUUUGACUUUGAUUCAUGAUCCAAAAAAUUGAAUUCUUGUUUGCACAUUAUUAUUUGUUUCCUCGGUUAUGUUUAAUGAUUUCUUGAUCAUCGUCUUUUAAAUGUAAAGAAGCAAAAUAUCAUGCAUAUUCAUAACAAGAACAAAUCACCCUGCAAUGCUAUGUAUCAAUCACGUAUUGCGAAAAUAUAUAAAAAAAAACAUUCAGCAAAACACUAAGGAUGUUCGCUUGUCGUGUUUUGGAAUUUUUGUCAGAUUUUCGAAAUCCUCUUGUUUUAUUCACUUGAAUGCCUUAUACAUUUUUGCCCAUUGAUCCCAUGUUUCUUUUUAUAAAUCUUUAACAUGUUUAAUUAUAAGUCAUCUGUUAAAGUUGUAUAAAAUCUUUGUUUUUUUAUUAGUUUUCUCGAGCUUAUGCUUGCCUAUGAUAAAGCUAGGAAAAAUCAAGAGAGAACAUUUUCCCGUCAAAACUUCAAUGGCUAAUAUUUCGAAAACAAGCACAUUGACUUACAUAUUUUUUUCGCUCAUUUUGUUCCUUUAUUAAUACCCCAUCAAUAUAUACUAGUGUUAUAAAAAGGUUUUUUAUUUUGAAACUGAGAAGCGAAUUCCCUCAACAUAAGAAGAAAAGAUUCAGUAACACGAAUCCAAUCAAAACACCGGGAAUUACUUAAGGUCCACCGGAAACGAAAGCUGUACAACAUCCACUUUAAACACAAUAUUUAUGAAUGAGAAUUCUGGUUGUUGCCAUAUUCCCCUAGAAUCACUAUGUGUUUAAUAGAAAUUGUACUUUUUUUCCAGUAUGACAAACGACAAAGGCUACAACCGAAAACCGCAUCUUAAGACCUCAAUCUGUAUAUUAUAGGAUUGAAACGAUAUUUGAACGUAUACAAAUUAUAAUAUUUAUUUGUACAAUCGUAUGAAUUUAAUCAUCAUCCUAAUCAAUCUUUAUUUUAACUUUACAUGUCAUGGAUAGCUGCAAGCAUUCUAUUUUACGCUGUUGUAGGAAGUACAGUUUUACUACCACGGCCAUAGCAAGACAACAUGAAGUUCGCAUUGUUGAUGCUGGUAUUUCUUGUCAUAGCUACAAGUAUUAACUAAUGAGUAACUGCAUGUAAGAUUCAGUGCUUGAUCCAGUAUCGUGUUCAAUUAACAAUUUUAAGUACUGGUUUGUACUUUUUAAAUGUCACUGUUCUUCGUUUCACUUGUUCAAUAGUUAUCAAGUUAUUACUACAAACACACAAAUAUAUGCGUUUUUAUAUAUGUAUUUAUGUUCAUUUGUAUCAGUUCUUCAAACAAAAAAAUGAUACAAUUACUAAUCGCAAAAUCGUUUUAAAUGAACCUGUUUCUCGUUUCACUUUCAAAAUAGUUAUCAAUUGAUAUCUACUAAUAUAUACGUUUUAUUUAUAUCUGUUUUCAAACAAACAAUUAUAUCCUUUUUAUUCGCAAAACCAGGCGUACUUGGAUAAUAAUCAUGAAGUAUGGUCUUGACAAAAAGUGUUAAAUAUCCUUCAAAAACCGUUUAGGUCAAUCAACAUGGCCUAGUAAUAACCCAACUAUCCAAUCCUUGUUUAUUUUUCAUUGAGUGAGUUGUAACAUUUAAAAGUUUUAAGAUAAUUGCAUUGCUCAACGAACUAAACAUUUCCCAAAACAUUGAAUUGUUAUAUUUCUCUUGCAAUAGCCACACCGCUGCCUCAUCGAUUGUUGGAACCCUUUUGUCAUAGGACACCUAAAUUGGCACUUACUCCGUGGUAGUAAAGACCAAUGUCUGCGACAAAUAUAAUUAUUGAUAUCUUCGAAAGACCAGAAACAUAUAUAUAGUUUAUAAGGAUAAUAGAAUAAAGAAGACCAAGAAUAUACCAACUUCGAGUGAAAUAUGACAAAAACAAAACAAAAUACUUCCAAAACCGUCUAUUGACUUUGACUAAUUGACGAUGAACGUUGGUUACUUUACAUUUAGCAACUUGCUAGAUCUUCACACACAUAUAUUUUAAGCUAUAGCUUUCAAAUCCCGAAGGACAGACUUUUUGUUGAAUGGCACAACUGGAGAAAAGAAUAACAGUAGUACUAACAUAGAAGUUGAUAAAAUAUAACACAUGUUCGUAAUGCAUAACAUAUGUCUCAAGUGAUUUUAUUUUAAACUGAAACAAGUUAAAAAUCCUCGCAGCUUUUUUAUAGCUACAGUUCAGAAUAUUUUCCUAUUAUUAUUCUUUGUAGAUACAAAUGUAUGUUUAAUUCUUACAAAACGGCUUUAAUUCAUGAAUUGUUAUUUUUGUUAACUAAGAGUAAUAACACAAAACUAAAUCACAAAAAAUAGGAUACUUGUUCAAGAGUCGCAUACAAAAUGUUCUAUCAAUAAAUGCAGAAAACAGAACUAACAUUUACCGCAUUUUAAGUAUCCGAAAGUAGUAAAAACUGUCAUACAUGUAGUUCAUGACAAGCGCGAUUGAAUGAAUUCUGAUAUUAACUGAUCCCCCCCCCCAAAAAAAGACUCAGUAUAAAGCUACAUUAAACGUAAACAUGAUAUUUUAAGGAUAGGUUUUGAUUUGUUUUGACGUGUUCAAAUCAGAUGUAGAAAUACGGAAUAUAAGAAAAGCAUUUAAUGGUAUCAGCUUUUAAAAUUUAUUUAUAACAUAGUUAUUUGAUAUAUCCGUUUCAGUGUAUAGCAGAAUUGCAUUUUCUAAAUUAUACCUAUUAUAGUUUCGAUCAAUUUAAUUCUAUGAAAUCAUUGUGCUUUAAAAUCAGGUGAACCCAUUCCAAACUCACCAAUAGAUUACAUUGCAUUAAGACAGAAUGGUUCAAAAUCUAGAAUAUCAUAUUUUUCUUAUGAGCAAAUUUCAAUAUAACAAAAAGACUACAUCUUAAGGAUGUAUUCUUCUGACGUUUUAGUCUCGUUGAAAUCUCGUUCUAGAAUUAUUUCCAAAAUAUGUGAUAGAAGUGGUAAAUAGCAAUGAAUUUUUAAGAUGCAAUAAUCAAACUUGACGCUGUGAAACAUAUGUGUAUUUACAAUAAGUAGUUUUUGAGAAUUAGAUAAUUUGUUACCUAUCAAGUCAGUUUUUGCAGCCAAAAUUUUGAGAAAAUGGGUAAGGGACACAAGAAAUAAUUUUACGAGAAACAGGAACAUCCGAUACCACUUUUUUCUUUCCGAAUUGCUUGAAUAUGUAUUUUUUCAAUUAUUUAUUAACACUUACCUAUAUUUAUGUUAAGUUGAAUUUAUUCAGAAUGAUCCACUUCAUCUUAGUUAAAAGUAUGAAAAAAAGUUUAAUUGUAGAACUGUAAUUUUUUUCACUAUAAAAGUCCAAAAAUGGGCAAAUAAAGGCAACAGUAGUAUACCGCCGUUUGAAACUUAUAAAUCGACUGAAAAAAAAACAAAUAAAAUUGAUGAAAGAUGGGAAAAUCAUCAAACUUGGGUCGUAGCUAAAAGACGUGCACCACCAUAUGAUUUUUUCUCCACCUAUUAUUUUUUUACACAUUUGUAAACCUUAAAAUCAGGUUAAGAAAAAAAGGUUAAGUCCAGAAAUUUUUGGCUCCUCAGAGGUGUAAAUCCUUAAUGUAUUCGUCUGUUGGAAAAUUUAUUAUUCGUUGGGAAUUUGCUCAACUAGACUCAGUCGAUAAAAACUGCAUAUAAAAUAUAAAUGAGGUACAUCGAAAUAAGGUUGUACCUGAAAUAUUUCCACUAUUAACAUCUGUGACAAUACUUUUAAAAUGUAUACCUUUAAUGAUUUGACUUACUUGGUCACGCAACUAAAAAUAUGUUAAUCUUUAAAUAACGUAAAUAACAAAUCAUAUAGUCAAAUGUUGUAUUUUUUGCAUGAAAAGUUACAAUCUGAGGUCGUUAAAAAAACAUUUUAAUUUUACGCAUUACAUUCUUCAAAAUGCAUUGCAGCUAUAUCAUUUGACAAAUAAACACAGCUUUCAGGUCAUCCAAUAUAUUCCCAUCUAACUUGAACGGCUUUUUUUUCGGACUGAUAUGAUUUAAACAAUAUUUUCAGUGACCAAAAUCAAAAUCUCCGGUACAUAUUUUUUGUAAUUUUAUGUGUAAACAAUAAAUAGAAAUGUUUUAGUUAAAUAGAUAUGUUUAGCUUUAUACUGUAAAGGAAAAGUCUUUUAUGUGUUUCAGAAGACUUCUAAUGGUUAUCGUUUCCACUUUUAGAUGACGUUCUUUCCCAAAUGUGUGGUUGUAAUCCAACAAUAGAAGAUCCAGUUUGUUCAAGGUCUGGUGUGACUUUCCAAAAUAUAUGUUUCUUAAGAUGCAGGUAAACAUGUUGUACAACGUAAUUAUCAUAGAUACCAGGAUUAUGAUUUAAUACGUCAGACGCGCGUAUCGUCUACAUAAGACUCAUCAGUGACGCUCAGAUAAAAACAGUAAAAAAGCCAUACCAAUACAAGGUUGAAGAGCAUUGGGAACCCAAAAUUCCCCCCCAAAAAAUGCCAAAUCCGGCUAAAGUAUUCUACUCCUGGGAUAGAUCCUUAAGUUUUUGAACCAAAACGAACAAUUCAUCUGUAAUAUUUUGAAACAAAUCACAUAAUUUAUAUAAAUAAAUUGAAAUCACUGCUCAAUUGAAAUUGUCUCCUUUGAACUGGUCUAGUAGGCUUAACAAAUUUGCAAACUAAUAUGCUGAGCUGGCACAUUUAAAAUCUAGCGGAUGAUUAUCAAACAAUGAAUUGGACAUACAAAACUGUCCUAGAUUCUUUUUUUUAAUUUCCAAGUAUUGGUUUAUAACAGUUAAAACCUUAUUGUGCCUGAAGUGCUUCAAUACAGUUUUCCAUUAAUGCGAGUUGCCAAAUAUUGGUAAAGGAUCAAAAGUAUAGCCAAAUACAGAGGAUGAAUUAAAGCGUUUUUUAAGUAAUACAUUCUAUAAUUCAAUGAUUUCAAUAGUUUAACCACUACAUAUUUCUGUCUUCAAUAUACGUAUUUUCUUGCAAAUAUCGAAGCAUUUCACUACCAAGAUUGUGAUACCCUCUGGGGACUACUAAUUAAACAGCAGAGGUAUACCGACCCAGUUACAACAAAGGCAAAUCACGGUAUCAUGUUUACUGCACUUGAAACACUUAUAAUGGCUCUUGAGUGAUACUCGGAGCAACAACAAAAAACGUUGGAAAGCUGAUAUGACAAAAAGUACAACAAUAAACACAUAACGUUCGGUUCUUAUACUACAUUGGCAUUCAUUUUUUGGGCUUUGAGCGUUCCUGGUGAAGGUAAAACUUGAAAAAGACUUCAGACGCAUGAAAUUUACUUUUGUUGUGUUUACUGUUCUUGAGAUCAAUUCUUACCUAAAUCUUUAAGACAUGCAUUAGGAAGAGAAUACAUGAGGGAAAUAUGUUCUUAUUAUUUUAUUUUUUUUUUACAAAUUGAUACACUAUAUUCCCAUUGGGUUAUUUGCUUUUCCUAUACGUUUUUACAAACAAUCACCGUUAGGUAACGUAAGUUGUUGAUAUCAUGGAUUUGGUUUUUAAUGGAAUUUUGCAUGUGACUGUUACCCGAAGUCCUCCAUAUGAAUACCAUAGAAAUAAAGGUAACAGUUACCAAAGAGACUUUCGAAUAUAAAUAUAUGAAAAUAACUGUUACAUAUUUUAACGUUCAAAUAUUUAACACAUAAAGAAUCCUUUAAAUAGAGUAAUGCAUUGUACUAUUUAUGUAGAUAUCUGAACUAGUUCAAAUAUUUUGAAAUAUUGCUUCUUGAAAACCUGUCCACAGAAGUCUUGAAAUUAAUCGGUUCCAUUUUACAAAUAAAUGUUGGUAAGGAGUAAAUAGUUGAAUUUUCUGGACACUGUAAAUAUAGCGAUGAAAAGGCAAAAACACCACAUGGUGAAUGCUGUGUCCAAAGAAUCUUUUUUUGGGGGGCAUUGUUUAACAUAUUACAUAUUCACUUACAUUUAUACUAGGAAAUCGAUAUUACAGUAAAAACGAAUUAGAUGACAUUUAUAAAAACUUAUCGAAGCUAUGUUGUAUCAAUAAAAUAGCUAUGUUAGUGGCAAUCAGAAUUGUCAAUGUUAUACAAUUCCAUAAUACUUGCAGGUAUAUUUAUGUAUUUUACAUUACAUCUGUGAUGUGACGAAUAUUAUUAUUAACAAGUUAUUGCGGGUUGAUUAUUUGAAGGAAAAUUUGUAUUGUUGGUUCCUUAUUAUUUGUGGGGUGCCAACUUUGAUUUCGUGAGAAUAGGUUAACCUCGAUUUUUUUGUUUUCAAUGAUAUAAUAUUCCCCUUAAGGUCUGUGUGUAAUGUCUGACAAAACACGAAAUCAAAUAUCUAUGAAUUAACUAUAUUGCUGAGUCAACAGAUUGUAUACAAAGCUAACAGAUAAUAUUGAAGCUCUUUUGAAUUUAAUAUGGGCAAGAGUUGAAUGAUUUUCAUAACUAUAGCCAAUGACAGAUGUCGAAGUGAUACGUCAUUAAUUCUUUUUUACAGGGGCUAUUAUUUUAGUUGCUACGGUCAUUGUCCAUGUAUAUUUUAACAUGUAUCAGACAAAGGUAGGUAGUAAUGAAACAUAAUUAAGUCUUAGAACUGAACUUAAAAUUGAUUAACGAUACAUAAAAUUGAGAAAAGUAACGGGGAAUGUGUCAACCAACGAGCAGACAACAGCCCAAAGACACCAAAUAGUCUGCAACACAGAGAGACAAUCCUGUAUCCGGAUCUCGAGGCGGGCUUCAGCUGGCCCUUAACAAAAAUAUGCACUAGUUCAGCAAAAUUUAAAAAAUAAGUCACAGCAAAAUAAGAAAUAUAGAGAUAAGAACUGACCAUAAUAUUUAAAUAAGGUCAAUUCAAAUAAUUCGUGCUAUACUGUUGGCAGUUGUAGGAAUAUAAGAUAUUGUCAUUCGCGGUUCGCUUUUAGUGCAGUAAUGUUUUUCACCCUCCCACCCGAAUAAAUGUAUUUUUCUUGUGUCUUUUUGAUGAAUGUGAAUAAUAAUGUGUGUAAGUAAAGGCAACAGUAGUAUAAGAACAGAAUAUUUAAUUUGAUUUAUAUGUAUUUGCAUACAUAAUGAAAAUUGCUUUUAUUUUUGUAGAUUUGGUUUUUGGGUUUGUAACCUGUAGCGGUUUCGAGAUGAACUUUAUGUUGCAUUUGUCUUUAAUAAAAUUAAAAUUUUGCAACACUUUCAGGCGAGCUGAUCCCAUACAAAGGUGUUGAGUUUAUUUUGUACAUAAUUUAUUUGAACCUGAAAAAGAGUGAAAAACCCAGACAAAA
rnacentral:lncRNA from 1 species